AAUGAACGCUGGCGGCGUGCCUAACACAUGCAAGUCGUACGAGAAAGGGGCUUCGGCCCUGAGUAGAGUGGCGCACGGGUGAGUAACGCGUGGGUAAUCUGCCCUUGGAUUUGGAAUAACUCCGCGAAAGUGGAGCUAAUACCGGAUAGUCUGGCUUUUUAACGAAGUCGGUAAAGGAUGCCUCUGCAUAUGCAUUCGUCCGAGGAUGAGCCCGCGUCUCAUUAGCUAGUUGGUAGGGUAAUGGCCUACCAAGGCAACGAUGAGUAGCUGGUCUGAGAGGAUGAUCAGCCACACUGGAACUGAAACACGGUCCAGACUCCUACGGGAGGCAGCAGUGGGGAAUAUUGCGCAAUGGGCGAAAGCCUGACGCAGCAACGCCGUGUGAGGGAUGAAGGCUUUCGGGUCGUAAACCUCUGUCAGAAGGGAAGAACGGGCAUUGGUCUAAUAGGCCUUUGUUUUGACGGUACCUUCAGAGGAAGCACCGGCUAACUCCGUG
rnacentral:rRNA from 1 species